rnacentral:rRNA from 1 species
UACGUAGGUGGCUAGCGUUGUCCGGAUUUACUGGGCGUAAAGAGCGCGCAGGCGGUCGGUCAAGUCGAGUGUGAAAGCCCCCGGCUCAACUGGGGAGGGUCACUCGAUACUGAUCGACUCGAAGGCAGGAGAGGGAAGCGGAAUUCCCGGUGUAGUGGUGAAAUGCGUAGAUAUCGGGAGGAACACCAGUGGCGAAGGCGGCUUUCUGGCCUGCUCUUGACGCUGAGGCGCGAAAGCUAGGGUAGCAAACGGG